CCUAGAGUGGGGGAUAACCGUAACGAAAGUUACGCUAAUUCCGCACACGAACUCAGGUUGUAAGUGGGGGAUCGCAAGACCUCAUUCUCUUGGAGUGCCCGAUAUCUGAUUAGCUAGUUGGUGAGGUAAAGGCUCACCAAGCCGACGAUCAGUAGCUGGUUUGAGAGAACGACCACCCACACUGGGACUGAGACACGGCCCAGACUCCUACGGGAGGCAGCAGUGGGGAAUUUUGGACAAUGGGGGCAACCCUGAUCCAGCAAUGCCGCGUGAGUGAAGAAGUCCUUCGGGUUGUAAAGCUCUUUUGUCAGGGAAGAAACGGCAGUUUCUAAUACAGACUGCUAAUGACGGUACCUGAAGAAUAAGCACCGGCUAACUAC
rnacentral:rRNA from 1 species